rnacentral:lncRNA from 1 species
AUAAUUGCAACAAAAUCAGAAAAUGAAUUUAACAUUGGAAACAAAAGAAAGAAAACGCCUAAACGCUCCAAUGAUCCAAGUUGACAGCACGCACGUCCAAGCACUUUUCUUUCCUUCCUUUGCUACGGCACAAGGUGUUGGUGAGUGUUUGAAGGUUUGUUUGUAUGGAGGAAUGGAUGUAAAUAUGAAUGGAUGUGUUUGGAUGAAGGUUGUAUUGAAAUGGGAGUGAAUGAUCUAAAAAAAUAUAUGAACCCAUUUAUGUUACACACACUUCCUUUUAUAGAGGAAGUGCAAGGCAAAGCAUGGGUAAAAUGGAGUAGUGUUGAAAUGAUUCAAAGGUGAAAGUGGAGUAAUGAUGCAAAGCAUGGGUAAAAGGGAGUGGUGUUGAAAUGAUUCAAAGAUGAAAGUGAAGUAAUGGAGUGGUGUUGAAAUGAUUCAAAGGUGAAAGUGAAGUAAUGAUGCAAAGCAUGGGUAAAAUGGAGUGGUGUUGAAAUGAUUCAAAGGUGAAAGUGGAGUAAUGAUGCAAAGCAUGGGUAAAAUUGAGUGGUGUUGAAAUGAUUCAAAGGUGAAAGUGAAGUAAUGAUGCAAAGCAUGGGUAAAAUGGAGUGGUGUUGAAAUGAUUCAAAGGUGAAAGUGGAGUAAUGAUGCAAAGCAUGGGUAAAAUGGAGUGGUGAUGAAAUGAUUCAAAGUAAUGAUGCAUGAAAUCUGAAAUGAUGGAGGGAACAAGGAAUGGUGUAGCAAUUAAGUGCAAGAAGGGAACAUGGAUGAUGAUAAGGUAAUCUUGACUCAUGUUUCUUCUUUGGUUCCUGAGCUCUUUGUCAUUUUUACAUUAAUUCUUCUUUCUUUUUAACACAUUCCAAGCCUCUUUAGUCUUCAAUUUCGUCCAUCCACCUUGCUCCAUGCAUGUGUUAUCCAUUCCAAGCCCAAAACUGCUUCAAAAUGCACCAAAAUGCACCU